rnacentral:rRNA from 1 species
UACGGAGGGUCCAAGCGUUAUCCGGAUUUAUUGGGUUUAAAGGGUGCGCAGGCGGAACUUUAAGUCAGUGGUGAAAUCUUGCCGCUUAACGGUAAAUUGCCAUCGAUACUGAAGUUCUUGAAUAUGGUUGAGGUAGGCGGAAUGUGUUGUGUAGCGGUGAAAUGCAUAGAUAUGACACAGAACGCCAAUUGCGAAGGCAGCUUACUAAGCCAUGAUUGACGCUGAGGCACGAAAGCGUGGGGAGCGAACAGG